GUCUUCUGUAUUAUACUGUUUGCAUCAGCAGUUGUUCAAUAUAUUUACUGCUAGUUAACGGACCGAACAAAGGUUAAUUAAAGACGAUCAAAAUGGUAUACCUUGUCACAUUUAUUGUGAAGUAUAUAUCUUCUUUUCCAUGUCGUAAUAUUAUAAUCACUAUUUUGAUCUGAGCGUCACGGAUGAGUCUUAUGUAGACGAAACACAUGUCUGGCGUAUCAAAUUAUGAGCCUGGUACCUUUGAUAACUAUUUGCAAUAUCAUGUUCUUAAAAAUAACAAAAAAUCAGUACGAAAUUUAUAUUAGUUUUCGAUUCUAUACAAUACUAUUCAUAUGCGUUAUCUCUUUAAUGACUGUAAUAUUUUUUCUGUCUAUGAAGAAAUAACAUAAAAAAUGUGGUGCACACUGAAGACGCGCGUAUGCUUUUUAGAAUAGACAGAUAAAUAUUACAGUUAUUUCUAAUAAUUAAAUUGAAAUAAAUAAUGUAAUCAUUGCAACAGUAUUGUUAUAUCACAGUAUCUUGUUAUAUCAUAGCCAUAUCCAAGUCAAAUUAUUUGUCGGGAAGAAUAUGUUCAUUGUACUUCAGCGUUUAAUUGUGUUUUAUUACACCAUAUACAAAAACAAUUUUAAUUGGAUGACAUGUAAUGCCAUCCUUUUGAAGGUCCAUAAAGAAACGAACGAUUUGUGUAGAAGCAAUAAAAGUACAGUACACACUACUUAUUUAGUCCUUUACAUUGCUUAUAUUCGAGAAGAAAUAUAAUUCCAAACCUAAAAAAAAGUGUCAAGACACAGUAUUCAACUACUCGAAAAAGGGCAAAGCCAAAAAUUGUAAUAUGCAAACAAUUAAAAGUCAACAUGAUUUAGUAUUAACGGAAC
rnacentral:lncRNA from 1 species